rnacentral:misc_RNA from 1 species
GAAAUGCGAUACUUGGUGUGAAUUGCAGGAUCCCGCGAACCAUCGAGUUUUUGAACGCAAGUUGCGCCCGAAGCCUUCUGGCCGAGGGCACGUCUGCCUGGGUGUCACUCAACCGUCGCCCCAACCUCCUCCUUUCGGGAGGGGGGCGGAAAAUGGCCUCCCGUAAGCUCUUUGUUUGCGGUUGGCCCAAAUGUCCGGUCCUCGGCAACGAUGCCACGGCAAUCGGUGGUUGUAUGACCCUCGCUAAAUGCUGUGACUGAUCGGUUGCUGAUGUGACUUACGAGGCCCCAAAGUGUUUCUGAAGAAGCGCUCGCAAUGCGACCCCAGGUCAGGCGGGAUUACCCGCUGAGUUUAA